rnacentral:rRNA from 1 species
GACGAACGCUGGCGGCGUGCCUAAUACAUGCAAAUCGAACGCAGUGGGGACGGGUGAGUAACACGUGGGUAACCUCCCAUCAGAGGGGAUAACACUUGGAAACAGGUCAUAAACCGAUAAUGAUGGAGGGACCCGCGGUGCAUUAGCUAGUUGGUGAGGUAACGCCUAACCAAGGCCACGAUGCAUAGCGUACCUGAGAGGGUGAUAGGCCACACUGGGACUGAGACACGGUCCAGACUCCUACGGGAGGCAGCAGUAGGGAAUCUCCGGCAAUGGACGAAAGUCUGACCGAGCAACGCCGCGUGAGUGAAGAAGGUUUUCGGAUCGUAAAGCUCUGUUGUUAGAGAAGCGGUAACUAACCAGAAAGGGACGGCUAACUACGUGCCAGCAGCCGCGGUAAUAC